UACGUAGGGUGCAAGCGUUGUCCGGAAUUAUUGGGCGUAAAGAGCUCGUAGGCGGUUCGUCACGUCGGCUGUGAAAUCCCGAGGCUCAACCUCGGGUCUGCAGUCGAUACGGGGCAGACUUGAGUUCGGUAGGGGGAGACUGGAAUUCCUGGUGUAGCGGUGAAAAUGCGCAGAUAUCAGGAGGAACACCGGUGGCGAAGGCGGGGUCUCUGGGGCCGA
rnacentral:rRNA from 1 species